CACCUCGCGACGCGAGUUCGAUCCCCAUCGGCGCCGAUUUUGCCACACAAUGAAAAAAGAAACGAAGGGGUAGACCCGCAGCCCUCCCCGCAUCGCUCCCUCCCACCGCUGCCUCCCUGCGUCGCUCCCUCCCCACGCACCCUCCCACCGCCGCCUCCCCAUACCCUCCCUACCGGCACGCUCGACGACGGGCAUGGCGGCGUCGUGCUCGGCUCCCGCACGACGGGCCGCCUCCGACAUCCCAGGCGGAGCGCUCGCCUGCCGCCGGAGAACACCCACGCCUGCGUCCGGUGCCGGACAACGCCCGCGGACGCCGCCCCCAGCACUCGCCGGACGGAUCUCGGGGCGGCCAGUCUGGAGCAGCGAGCCGACGCCGGAUCUCGGGGCUGCCGAUCUCGGAAGCCGUCGCUGGGCACUUGGUAGAGAGGGAGAGGGGGAGGGGGAGGCCGCCGGGCGCUGCACGGGCGGUUCGCCGAUGGAUCUGGGAGUGGCCGGCGUGGGGGCAGCGACUCACCGCCGGAUCUCAGACCGUCAGGUAUUGAGCGCCACCGCCGAGGUCUUGGCCGAGAGGGGAAGGGGGCGGAGGAGGCCGCCGGACGCUGCUGGGCAGGGCCGAAAGCUGAGUGGCCGCUGCUAGGUGAAGUUGGGCGGCCGCUGCUAGGCGAGGCCGUGCGGGAGCGACGCUAGGUCGUGGCGGGUGGGAUGCGAAGCCCUCGAGUCCAGCUGGAUUUGGAGGCUGUGGCCCUUUCUGCGCUCGCAGCGACGCCACCUUUGUCGAGGGGCUCGAGGCCAUGACCACAUCGCGCGACACCAGGGAUGCACGGGCCGCCGAUGUUGUGCCGGUGCCAGCGGUUCGGCCGACGCCGCCGCGGCAGAUCCCGCUAGCGACAAUGAGGAGGCGACGACCACCAACAAGGCAACAACUCUGCUUCUACGGUUCUACCUGGCACCCCGUCGCUAGACUAGCAACACCGAAUUAAGCAUCCCUGCCGACUGAGCAACACCGAAUGGUUGUAUCUUCUAUUGGCAGAUUGGAUGAGGAUAGAUUGAUCCUGUUGUGAUUGUGUGCUCUACAAAAAAAGGUGGAAGAUGUUGUAUAUGAAUUUGUUUUUUGCCUUUUCUUUGUUAAGAAAGAGAGUGCAUUAUCCAAAUAGAGUAGCAGAAUUUCCUAAAAAAUGAGCAGAAAAGGAUACAACGCCACAUGCUAAUUGCUAUUGUUACCUAUUGCUUCCGUAUUGUGAAGUCCAAAAUGCAUCUUGUUUGAGCUACAUCCCCAAUUUGGUUCUGGAGUCACAAUAACAUAUGUUUGUUUUUGAGCUAGUACUGUUCAAUGCAGGCCUCAAGGAAGUACUACUGCACCAAAAUAAGGUUGCUUGCAUGAGUGACAACAUUAUUUGUACUUCUAAUUAAAUUUUCCUUCAUCAGCAAGCGGCUGCUAGAUGUGAAUGUUCAUGGUUGCUCAGAAUUCAAGAUGUUGCAUAUAUUAAAUGACUGCUCUCAGACCUGCAUUAAAGCUUUUGGGUAGGAGGUGACUGCGGAGGAAGGCGGCGGCGGGGCAGAAGGUGAAGGGCGGCGGCGGCCGGACAGGAGGUCAAGGGCGGAAGGCGGCGGAUGAGAUAGAGGCGGAGGAAGGCGGCGGAGGAAGGCUGGCAUCUGCGAGUGGAUCGAUUCCACUUCUAUAUGCGGUAGAUAGACAUCCCGGGGGCGCUUUCGCAAAAUUCCGGAUUGCUGUCCGGCCGUCCGCCGCGACUCGCCGGAGCUCCGCCUCCCGCCGCGCGUCCCAUGAAGCCCCAAGGGUCGGGCGGUGUUGGGGCUGACCGAACACCCCGAUGCCGCCCGUUCCCGCUGCCCCCUCCACGAGCUCGUCCUCCGCCUCCACCAAUGCGGCGGCGGCGGCGGCGGCCUCGCCCUCGUCUCCGGUACCCUCCCCGCCUCACUCCCGCUCGCCGGCACGCUGCUCCGCGACGUCCCCUCGGCUCCGCCACCACCUGACCACCCGCUCUGCCUUCCUCUUCAACUCCCUCCGCCGCCGAAACUCUGCGGUUGUACAACCGCAUGGUGCGUUGCCGCAGUGGAAGCGACCGGACAAGGGCCUCGAGCUCCGCGCUGCUGCUCUCCGGCGUGCGGCCGUCUACGCGGGCAACAUAAUCGUCUCGUUCUACGCGGCGUGCGGCCGACGCGCGCAGGAUGUUCGACGAGAUGCCCGCGCGGGAUGUGCAUGUGGCCGCGGGUUUGGCGUCAGUCAUUCACUAGCUAGGAAAUAAAUGAUCAACCAACCAGAUCAACUUUAUUCAUAUCAUGGAUCAUCCUCGAUCGGGAGCUUGGUUUGCUAAUUAAAAGAUGAUGAGUUCGCCACCAACUCCAGUCCA